UACGGGGGGGGCAAGCGUUGUUCGGAAUUACUGGGCGUAAAGAGCUCGUAGGCGGUUUGUUGCGUCUAUCGUGAAAACCUGCAGCUUAACUGUGGGCUUGCGGUGGAUACGGGCAGACUUGAGUUCGGUAGGGGAGACUGGAAUUCCUGGUGUAGCGGUGAAAUGCGCAGAUAUCAGGAGGAACACCGGUGGCGAAGGCGGGUCUCUGGGCCGAUACUGACGCUGAGGAGCGAAAGCGUGGGGAGCGAACAGG
rnacentral:rRNA from 1 species